rnacentral:lncRNA from 1 species
UGCUAUUACCUCCUAUUGGACAUCGGGUAAUCUACAACCCUCUCUCUUCCAGGACCUUAUGCUAUUACCUCCUAUUUGGACAUCAAGUAAUCUACAACCCUCUCUUCCAGGACCUUAUGCUAUUACCUCCUAUUUGGAUAUCAGGUAAUCUACAGCCCUCUCUCUUCCAGCACCUUAUGCUAUUACCUCCUAUUUGGACAUCAGGUAAUCUACAGCCCUCUCCUCCAGGACCUGAUUCUAUUACCUCCUAUUUGGACAUCAGGUAAUUUACAGCCCUCUCUUCCAGGACCUUAUUCUAUUACCUCCUAUUUGGACAUCAGGUAAUCUACAACAACUUUGUCUUCCAGGACCUUAUGCUAUUACGUCCUAUUUGGACAUCAUGUAAUCUACAACACCUUUGUCCUCCAGGACCUUAUGCUAUUUCCUCCUAUUUAGACAUCAGGACCUUAUGCUAUUUCCUGCUAUUUGGACAUCAGGUAAUCUCCAACACCUUUGUUUUCGAGGACCUUAUGCUAUUACCUCCUAUUUGGACUUCAGGUAAUCUACAACACCUUUGUCUUCCAGGAC